GCCGAGGUGGUGAAACUGGUAGACACGCCAGACUCAAAAUCUGGUGCGAGCGAUCGCGUGCCGGUUCGAGUCCGGCUCUCGGCACCA
rnacentral:tRNA from 1 species